AACGGCGAGUGAAGCGGCAAGAGCUCAAAUUUGAAAUCUGGCCUCCCCCGGGGGCCCGAGUUGUAAUUUGCAGAGGAUGCUUCGGGUGCGGCCGCCGUCUAAGUUCCUUGGAACAGGACGUCAGAGAGGGUGAGAAUCCCGUCUUGGGCGGGCGGUCCGCGCCCGUGUGAAGCUCCUUCGACGAGUCGAGUUGUUUGGGAAUGCAGCUCUAAGCGGGUGGUAAAUUUCAUCUAAAGCUAAAUAUUGGCCGGAGACCGAUAGCGCACAAGUAGAGUGAUCGAAAGGUUAAAAGCACCUUGAAAAGGGAGUUAAACAGCACGUGAAAUUGUUGAAAGGGAAGCGCUUGCGGCCAGAUUCGGGGGCGGGGUUCAGCGGGUGCUCGUCGCCCGUGUAUUCCUCGUCUCCCGGGCCAGCAUCAGUUUCGACGGCCGGUCAAAGGCCCCCGGAAUGUGUCGUCUCUCGGGACGUCUUAUAGCCGGGGGUGCAAUGCGGCCCGUCGGGACUGAGGAACGCGCUCCGGCUCGGAUGCUGGCGUAAUGGCCGUAAGCGGCCCGUCUUGAAACACGGACCAAGGAGUCUAACAUCCACGCGAGUGUUCGGGUGUCAAACCCGUGCGCGCAGUGAAAGCGAACGGAGGUGGGAGCCYUAGGGCGCACCAUCGACCGAUCCUGAAGUCUUCGGAUGGAUUUGAGUAGGAGCGUGGCCGUUGGGACCCGAAAGAUGGUGAACUAUGCCUGAAUAGGGUGRAGCCRGAGGAAACUCUGGUGGAGGCUCGCAGCGGUUCUGACGUGCAAAUCGAUCGUCAAAUUU
rnacentral:rRNA from 1 species